rnacentral:rRNA from 1 species
AGAGAGAGACAUGCGCGCAUAUCAAUAAGCGGAGGAAAAGAAACUAACUAGGAUUCCCUCAGUAACGGCGAGUGAAGCGGGAAGAGCUCAAAUUUGAAAUCUUCAAGGUUCUACCUUGACGAAUUGUAGUUUAAAGAAGUGUUUUCUGUUGGAGUUUUGGUAAAAGUUCCUUUGGAAUAGGACAUCAUAGAGGGUGAGAAUCCCGUAUUUGACCAUUAUUUCCAACUUUGUGAUACACUUUCAAAGAGUCGGAUUGUUUGGGAAUGCAGUCCAAAAUGGGUGGUAAAUUUCAUCUAAAGCUAAAUACUGGCGAGAGACCGAUAGCGAACAAGUACCGUGAGGGAAAGAUGAAAAGAACUUUGAAAAGAGAGUUAAACAGUACGUGAAAUUGUCAAAAGGGAAGCGUUUGACACCAGUGUUGUCUUCUCGAAAAUCAAUUAAAAUGGCAGGGAUUUUGUGUUGUAUUGACUUUAUCAGCUUUCUGCACUAUUUUUCCUGUCUUUUUUAAUGCACUUUUCGUUUAACAAGUCAACAUCAAUUUCUUUUGUUGUAAAAGGGUCAUUGGAAGGUGGCUUUCUUUUCGGAGAAAGUGUUUAUAGCCUUUGACUUCUGCAAUCGGAGAGAUUGAGGUCUGCAGCGUAGAUCCUUCGGGGUUAGAUGCAUUUGUGCUAAGUUAUAGCCUCUCAUAGACAACUUGUUGACUAUGAUCAGUCAUGUAGCUUACUCGCUUAUGUCAUUUUACCUACGCUUAGGAUGUUGACAGCAGUAUAGACUGU